UACGUAGGGUGCGAGCGUUGUCCGGAAUUAUUGGGCGUAAAGAGCUCGUAGGCGGUCUGUCGCGUCGAUCGUGAAAACUUGGGGCUUAACCCUGAGCUUGCGGUCGAUACGGGCAUGACUGGAGUUCGGCAGGGGAGACUGGAAUUCCUGGUGUAGCGGUGAAAUGCGCAGAUAUCAGGAGGAACACCGGUGGCGAAGGCGGCCAACUGGUCCGGAUCUGACGCUGAGGCGCGAAAGCGUGGGGAGCAAACAGG
rnacentral:rRNA from 1 species